CUGCUGCCUCCCGUAGGAGUCUGGUCCGUGUCUCAGUACCAGUGUGGGGGACCUUCCUCUCAGAACCCCUAGACAUCGUCGCCUUGGUGGGCCGUUGCCCCGCCAACUAGCUAAUGUCACGCAUGCCCAUCCGUUGCCGGAAUCGGCUCCCUUUGGCCGCAGGGCCAUGCAGCCCCGCGGCGUUACGCGGUAUUAGACGGGAUUUCUCCCGAUUAUCCCCCUGCAACGGGCAGGUCGCAUACGCGUUACUCACCCGUGCG
rnacentral:rRNA from 1 species